rnacentral:tRNA from 1 species
UGUCCAGGAAAGGGAAUCGAACCCACAGUGUUCUGCUUACCGGGCAGAUGCCAUGUCCACUAGGCUACCCUGUAC